GGGGAGGGGCCAAAAGUCGGUGGGCUGAGUGAAGGGUUUGGGGCCGCUUGUGGCCAUGCGGGCACCCCCUCGUUUCCCAGGGCCAAGGGAUUCGUUAGCAGAAAACGGCCCUGCAGGAGCUGCCCUGGGCCUGAUAGACAAGAGACCGUGCGGCCAGGCUGGCUUUCGAAUUGGCACUGCGGAGGGGCCAGCACUUUUAUCUGGACGGUCACGACUUCUGAUGUGCCUGUCUGCCUUUUUGCUCCCCUAGAUAUGGUUUCAAAACCGAAGAGCUCAGCACCACCAGCAGGGCCCGAGCGGGCCUGGCAUGGCCAGGCCCAAGGGCCAGGCAGUGCAGCAGCCAUGACUACUCCUGCUCCAGAGGACCGAAGGGCCCACCCGCUGUCCAGAGCAUCUCUCCUCCCCUUCGCCCCUCCCCCGCCACAGGAGAGCAUACCACCCUUGGCGGCCGAAGCUGCUCCUUUUGGGGCCCCCACAUUCUGUGUGCACGGGACUGCCUCUGGGGUCUCUGUGGGCCAUCCGUUGAUGAUCUUCAUAGUCCAGCCCAGCCCAGUGGCUCUCCCGCCAUGCGGGAAGCCACCACCUCUUGCCCAGGCCCUGUCGCCACAGGAUCUCCAAGGAGGAGGCUCAUUCUGAAGCUCAGCCAGAAGGACACCCUGCAAGCGAUGUUUCAACAGAACCCCUCCUCUGGGAUAGCGAGCAGAGAAUGCCUGGCCUGAGACCUUGGCAUUGCCAAAAGCAGAGUUCAGGUCUGGUUCCAAAACCAGCGUAGAAGACAGUUAAAGCAGAGCCAAUCGCCGUCUGAAUAUGUGAACCAAGAAGGGGAAGGGGGCCAACGUCCACAACCACGCCACCGACGGCCCCUCCUCGACCUCGGUCUUCCUCUCCAGGAAACUCAGCAAGAGAGGCCUGGAGAAAGUGGACAGUCAUUCUCUCCUUCUCAAACAAGGUACCUUGUGCAAACCUUCACGAGGGAUCUCUUCCAGGGGAUUACCAACCGGAAAGAACUGGCUCGUCAUAUGGGAAUCCCAGAAACUCGAAUCCAGAUAUGGUUUCAAAACUGAAGAGCUUGGAACCCACAGCAGAGACAAAGCGGGCCCGGCAAUGGCUGGGCCCAAGGGCCAAGCAGCACAGCAGCCACGACUACUCCUGCUCCAGAGGACCGAAGGGCCCCACCCGCUGUUCAGAGCUCCUCUUCCCACUAUUAACCCUUCCCGCCAGAGGAGAGCAUUCCACAAUUGGAAGAGGCAAAAUUGAGACCCAGGGAUCCAGUGGUGAGGAGACCACGGUUCGAUGCCUGCGUUGGGAAGAUCCGCUGCCCAAGGGAGUAAGCUACCAUCUGGCCUGCAGAACUCGUCCACGGGGUCGCAAAGCGUCGGACAGAACUGUGUCCCAGGGAAUCGCAAAGAAACCAAGGAACCACAGCGCCACCUACACAGCCAUCCGUAGCAAUGGAUUCUUUGGCCAGCCAGCUCUUGGUGGAUGCCUAGAUGUCUCCCGGUUGGUUGAGGGCCCCAGUGUCCCAGCGCCACCCACCAGCAGCACCGUGGUCAUUCUGCAGCGACCCAAGGGUCGGUGAGUGAAUGGGUGCCCCCGCUAGGCUGCACCCAUGCGCCCUCCUUCUCUUUCUGCUAAGACACAUGGUUCCUCUGAGCUCGACCAGGCUGGCUUGAGAUGCUGAGAGGCGACGGGAGGGAGGAAGGGCCGGACUGCCGGCUGAGGGCUUCAGCAGGGAGGGGGUGCUGGCAACAAAGAGCCCUCCUCUCCCUGCCCCCGCUGGAUGUGCUCGAGAAGCUAGGGGGCUGACGUGAGGCCAGCAGCGAUGUGGAGCCUGUGCGCCUGGCAAGCCCGCCCGGGGCUCCUUCUUCCUGGGGCCCGGGCGCGCCAGGACCCCUUGGUCUGGCAGAAUGGCGCAGGGCUGCUGACAUCUGGUGAGACAGGGUUCCCCUCCUGCACGCCAGGGCGAGACAGUAGCAAGCGGAAGGGCAAGGGUGUGAGCAGCCAGGCCGCGUCACCGGAGGGCCGCUGUGGCGGGGAGGUGUUCCACACUGACAGGCACCCUGGCGAGACCGGCAAGACCCAGGCUCCGGUGGGCCGGACCCUUGGCCAGGGCGUGGCAGGAAGAAACCUUCAGCGGGAGAGGCGGGCACACCCUGGCUACAUCCCAGUGGGAAGUUAAAUGAGCAUGGGAGCCCGGGACAAGAGGCCAGAGUCCUUGCUGGGGAAAGAGCAAAGGGAAGGGAGUCAAGCCAUGUCUGUGCCAGAACGGGCCUUUCCAGCCUGGACCCGGGCCACUGCGGCGGACGUGUGGGGGUGGUGGGAGACGAGCUGGGAGCCACGGGAGAGCCCCAGCCCGCUGCUGCAGGAGAGCCCAGAGGAGACUCCCCGCAAGAGGCGCGGGAGGUCUGCCAGGGCCCCGGCGGUGGGCUGGGCUCUGCCUCCAGCCGGCGCCUCGGAGGAGUGCAGGGGGCCCCAUGGGUCUCCCAGGUGCCUGCGCCCCAGCUCUGGGGAGACCCUGCCAAAGAGACGGAGAAGGUGUGCCAGAGGCCCAUCGGCAGCAGCGAGCGAGGCGGCAGCGGUGGCGGGCUGGGCCCCUCCUCCCACCGGCCCUUCGGAGAGGGGCGAGGAGACCAGGAGCUGGGGGCGUCGGGGGGGGACUCGCUAGGUUCAGGUCCCCAAUCCAGGGAACCUUCUCCCAAAGAGACG
ensembl:lncRNA